UUGACAAAAUUAAUUAGUUUCAAAAUUUAAGAUAAAAUUGAUAAAAUAGCGUGGAAAAGAAAAAUGAACCCAAGCUCGAAGACACAAGAGAUUAAAAUCUUAUACAAGUAGUUCGAUUCAGUUCAAAAAUUUAUGCUCGAUUGUUUGAUUAUACACAAGAAAACCCAAUUAGUGUUUGUUAGUGAUUCCUAUGCCGAUUCUUGCCAACUAUUUCUAUCCAACCGCCGGAAACACGUCCGAGCUUCGGCGGAAUUCUUGCCGGAGGAAGAUACAGAGGCCCCUCCGUCGUAUCUAUUGCAUACAGGUGAACAAAUUCCGUGAAAUUUUUUUCAGCUCCUUAAUGCUGCUUCUCCUUGCUCUCUACCUGUUCGACGAAAUGCCCGAAUGACGAUUGUGUUAAUAAUACCUGUGUCCUGCUCUUGAAUUUGCUGAGCUUAAUGUCGAUCAACUUGGAUUUUCGGCCCCUUGUAGUGUUGAAUUCUUAUGCUGAUUAAUCUAUGUUUUUCUGUACAAGUUCAAUCUACGAAUUAGUAUAACUAUUUUUUGAAGUGGCGAUGCGGCUUGCUCUUUUAAUAUCUCACAUGUGUUUGGAAUGUGGAUGAGUUUGAUUUGAUUGCUUGUUCUUUGUUAUCAUCUUAGCUAAAUAGAGUUUGGAAUUGCUGUGAAAUAAAAUAUGAUGAUCUUUAACACGUAGGGAGUGCGUCAGUGCUUAUUUUUAGGGAAACAUAAGUUCGGCAGUUUAUGUUGGAGUUUUGUGUGGAAGUCAUAGUUUUAGUAUUAGAAGAGUUUGCCGUAAAAUAAUAUGCCACACAGCUGCAGAUAAGUAACGAACUAGAUGAUUAAGAUACUUGUGUGAUUGUUACUCGAACAAAUAUGAAACUUCCUAAUGUAAGUAGAAAAACAAAAGAAUCAUGGAUUCCUAUCACGACCUUUGGGGAACAUAUGUAAAUAUUUUUCUUGGUCUAGUGUAUCCUAAAAGUAGCGGACACAAACAAAUUCAUUUUGCGGAUAUUGUUCGAAGUUCAUAUAUAGGUGUAUAUAUUUUUUUCUUGAUCAAGUACAGAUUUUUUGGAAAAGGGUCCCUGAUAGUAUAUUAUUUCAAGCAACCGAACAGAAUUUAUGGAUUCCAUCCCCUAACUUGUUUUUUUCGAGAACAAAUCAUCAUAACUCACAUUUUGCUAACUAAAUUUGAAACUAAUGUUUUAUGAAAAUCUUGAUUAUGAAAUAAUCACACCAAUUAUUGAUGAAUAUCUAAAAAAUGAAAUAUAAAAAUAAAAGAUAUUCUUAAAACACUAAUCAUGAUAUAAUAAACCCUAAUUAUAAAUUAUUUAUAAAAAAAACAAAAUACUUAUCAUAUGAAAUAUUGAUGAAUGGUUGAAAAAGUUAUUAGUGGUGUAGAGAAAUGGUACACAACAGCUUGUGUAUAAAAUAAAAUAUAGGAAAAGAAAACAAAAAAAUGUACCAGCACACAGUUUCUCUUUCGUAAAAUAUGUGCUGUGAAAACCGUUCGGAUGGAACUGAGGGAAAUAAAUCUGCUGGGUUAGAAUACUGUGCGGUCAACAAUCUUAAUUUGUUUUGUAGUUAAUGAGUAUCAUAGAAAAUGUAAUGGAUACAACAAUGGCUGAAGCUGGCCCAAAUCAUUGAUUAUCAAAGCAAUCAAAUAUAUGUAUAUUUUCAUUAGCUACAUUAUAAAUUUGUGAUAUAUGUUAUUGCCUAAUCCAAUAUGUUUAGAAUUAGUAAGAAGACUUCUUCUCAUUGUUCAAGAUUGUUCAAAAGCUUGCAUACGUAACAUCUAUCCUCACACGUCACAAGACCUUUAUGGCACUUACACUCGCAAUCACUGACCCUACAACCAUAUACGUGUGAACGAGUGCGUAUCAUUUAGUAAAUCAACUGUGAUUGUGAAGGAUUAUAACAAAACAAAAAGAUUAAGAAAUCCAGGUGGCUUCUAAGCGAUACCACUGGCCACUUAUUCCAGUCCAAUCAACUUUAUUCCAUGUAACAAAAAGGAUUAUUGCAAAACAAAGAGAUUAAGAGAGCCAGGUGGCUGUGUAGUCCAUUGUCUAUGCUUCUUCAGAGUGAAUGUUUCUAUAAAUCUAGAGGGCGGAAAUUUCUCAGAGAAUAAGCAUAUUUCUAAGGAUUUGGAGGCCACAGCUGUCCUUUUUUGUGCACUCUUCGCCAAGAUUUAUUUCCUUGAAGGUGUAGAUCUGUCGUUUAAAGAAUUUUAAUCACACAGCUAUACACAAAUGAAGAAAAAAUUGCAUCUUUUUAUAUAUUUUCAUGAAGAAGAGAAAGAAGAUGAUAGGAGUUGGCGGGUCUACAAGAGGGGAAACCGCCAGGUUGUUUGGCCAACCGAGUCAGAGGAAAAAGAGGAAGAAUGAAGAAGCAACAGGAGCACAAAUCUCGGCUGUAGUUAGGAAUUUUCAAAUUCAAAUUAAGUUGUUACAGUUUCUGUUAGUGAUUGCUGAUUUUUCUCUAAUUGUAAGUCUAUAUAUUGAAGUUCCAAAAUACAGAAAAGUAUCUUGGGAAUUUAGUAUUGGACGAUCGUAGUAUCGUAGGCCUCCUUGUGGGGAUUUCCGUUAAGUGUCAUUUCAUCUCUCAUAUCAAUAAAGCCGAGUUCUUUCAA